UUCAGUACAGUUCAAACAUGGAGAUUAUGAAGACUCUGCUUUUUAUUUCCCUCUUAGUGGCAACAGCCUCUUCGCUUUCAAUGUACAAGUGGCAGGCAGAAAGGCUACUGAGGCAAGCAGCACGUUCUCAAAGCAGUUCAGAAUCUGGAUCAGAAUCUGAAGACAGCUCCUCCUCUGAAGAAAUCCUGCUGAGGAGGACAACCACCAAAGCUACAACUACAACUACCACUACAGCUACGACCACCACCACGCCAAGCGUCACAAGUUGUUUCACUACAGACAUUGGACUUGGAAGCCAGACCACAGGCAUGGUCCAGACAACGGACAACAGAGGAGAUAGUUAAUGUUUUGGCUUAGAUGAAAAGAUUUUUUGAUACCACAACUGGAUGUUGUUUUCAUUUUCAUCUCUUUGUCUUAAUAACUUGAUUGUGUUUACUUAAUCAGUUCUAGCUUCUAAAGGUUAUUUGUUAUUAAUUCAUCAGAUAUGAUUCACAAAUGCAAACUCACAGAGAGGACAGGUGGACAAGCCCUUAGUAAAGAAGUUGGUAUCCUAUUAAAGCAUGAAAUGAGUCGGUUUUAAGCAGCAGCUCCUCUAAACUGCAGAUCAAGCAGAGAAGUGAGAAGUUAAUAACUGUGAGUUUGCUUCUGUCUGGUACCUAAAUUUAAUUUCCAUUUUAUAUUGAAAAAAUACCUUAAUCCAAUUUUUACCCGUACUCUUCUUUAUUGAAAUUUUCAUGUAACCAAAAAUAAUAAAAAGCAUUUAUUUAACUAUAUGCCUAAAUACAGACUUAUGGUUUUCUGCAUGCAUACAACUGUGAUACACAGGACAUACUAUAUGAAAAGGAAGAUACAGUAUGGUUGGAUUAUAUUUCAGGCCUUUGUUGCUAAUCAGAGUGAUCACAAGGUUUUUGAAAUGGUUUUAUAAACCUUGAAAAAUCAAAGUGUGAUUUAUAUAAAACAUUAAUAGGUUAACAGUUGAUUUUAUGGGCAGUAAUGGAAUCCCCUAAGCACCGCUGUCAUUUGUAUGAAUAUUAAUCAUCUCUAUAGAAGUCUGAACAGAAAACAAUUUCACAGUAUUCAGCAUUUAUUAUCUAUAUGCAGAUUUUUAGGGUCUUUGAGACCCAAAC
rnacentral:lncRNA from 1 species